AGUGAACGCUGGCGAUAGGCCUAACACAUGCAAGUCGAACGGCAGCACAGUAAGAGCUUGCUCUUACGGGUGGCGAGUGGCGGACGGGUGAGGAAUACAUCGGAAUCUACUUUUUCGUGGGGGAUAACGUAGGGAAACUUACGCUAAUACCGCAUACGACCUACGGGUGAAAGCAGGGGAUCUUCGGACCUUGCGCGAUUGAAUGAGCCGAUGUCGGAUUAGCUAGUUGGCGGGGUAAAGGCCCACCAAGGCGACGAUCCGUAGCUGGUCUGAGAGGAUGAUAAGCCAAACUGGAACUGAGACACGGUCCAGACUCCUACGGGAGGCAGCAGUGGGGAAUAUUGGACAAUGGGCGCAAGCCUGAUCCAGCCAUACCGAGUGGGUGAAGAAGGCCUUCGGGUUGUAAAGCCCUUUUGUUGGGAAAGAAAAGCAGCAGGUUAAUACCCAGCUGUUCUGACGGUACCCAAAGAAUAAGCACCGGCUAACUUCGUG
rnacentral:rRNA from 1 species